AACGAACGCUGGCGGCGUGCUUAACACAUGCAAGUCGAACGCGAAAGGGACUUCGGUCCUGAGUAGAGUGGCGCACGGGUGAGUAACGCGUAAGUGAUCUACCCCUGUAUCUGGGAUAACUAUGGGAAACUGUAGCUAAUACCGGAUACGUUCAUGUUCUUGCGAGUAUAUGAAGAAAGAUGGCCUCUGAUUCAAGCUAUUGUACAGGGAGGAGCUUGCGUACCAUUAGCUAGUUGGUAGGGUAAUGGCCUACCAAGGCAACGAUGGUUAGCGGGUCUGAGAGGAUGAUCCGCCUGCCUGGAACUGAAACACGGACCAGACUCCUACGGGAGGCAGCAGUGAGGAAUAUUGCGCAAUGGGGGAAACCCUGACGCAGCGACGCCGCGUGCCAUGAUGAAGGCCUUCGGGUCGUAAAAUCCUGUCAGAUGGA
rnacentral:rRNA from 1 species